AUCCAUAUUUUGUUUGUCGAAUUGCUCGGAGUUCCGAGUGGCAGUAUACUGCAAUUUUGCAUGUCCAAAAACUCACGUCGAAUUACCUUGUAAAAUUUUUUAUCGACUUCGUCUGUGAAAUGAAAUGCUGAUAUCGGAAGAGCAUCGUGU